rnacentral:rRNA from 1 species
UUUAUGGAGAGUUUGAUCCUGGCUCAGGAUGAACGCUGGCGGCGUGCCUAAUACAUGCAAGUCGAGCGAACGGACGAGAAGCUUGCUUCUCUGAUGUUAGCGGCGGACGGGUGAGUAACACGUGGAUAACCUACCUAUAAGACUGGGAUAACUUCGGGAAACCGGAGCUAAUACCGGAUAAUAUUUUGAACCGCAUGGUUCAAAAGUGAAAGACGGUCUUGCUGUCACUUAUAGAUGGAUCCGCGCUGCAUUAGCUAGUUGGUAAGGUAACGGCUUACCAAGGCAACGAUGCAUAGCCGACCUGAGAGGGUGAUCGGCCACACUGGAACUGAGACACGGUCCAGACUCCUACGGGAGGCAGCAGUAGGGAAUCUUCCGCAAUGGGCGAAAGCCUGACGGAGCAACGCCGCGUGAGUGAUGAAGGUCUUCGGAUCGUAAAACUCUGUUAUUAGGGAAGAACAUAUGUGUAAGUAACUGUGCACAUCUUGACGGUACCUAAUCAGAAAGCCACGGCUAACUACGUGCCAGCAGCCGCGGUAAUACGUAGGUGGCAAGCGUUAUCCGGAAUUAUUGGGCGUAAAGCGCGCGUAGGCGGUUUUUUAAGUCUGAUGUGAAAGCCCACGGCUCAACCGUGGAGGGUCAUUGGAAACUGGAAAACUUGAGUGCAGAAGAGGAAAGUGGAAUUCCAUGUGUAGCGGUGAAAUGCGCAGAGAUAUGGAGGAACACCAGUGGCGAAGGCGACUUUCUGGUCUGUAACUGACGCUGAUGUGCGAAAGCGUGGGAUCAAACAGGAUUAGAUACCCUGGUAGUCCACGCCGUAAACGAUGAGUGCUAAGUGUUAGGGGGUUUCCGCCCUUAGUGCUGCAGCUAACGCAUUAAGCACUCCGCCUGGGGAGUACGACCGCAAGGUUGAAACUCAAAGGAAUUGACGGGGACCCGCACAAGCGGUGGAGCAUGUGGUUUAAUUCGAAGCAACGCGAAGAACCUUACCAAAUCUUGACAUCCUUUGACAACUCUAGAGAUAGAGCUUUCCCCUUCGGGGACAAAGUGACAGGUGGUGCAUGGUUGUCGUCAGCUCGUGUCGUGAGAUGUUGGGUUAAGUCCCGCAACGAGCGCAACCCUUAAGCUUAGUUGCCAUCAUUAAGUUGGGCACUCUAAGUUGACUGCCGGUGACAAACCGGAGGAAGGUGGGGAUGACGUCAAAUCAUCAUGCCCCUUAUGAUUUGGGCUACACACGUGCUACAAUGGACAAUACAAAGGGCAGCGAAACCGUGAGGUCAAGCAAAUCCCAUAAAGUUGUUCUCAGUUCGGAUUGUAGUCUGCAACUCGACUACAUGAAGCUGGAAUCGCUAGUAAUCGUAGAUCAGCAUGCUACGGUGAAUACGUUCCCGGGUCUUGUACACACCGCCCGUCACACCACGAGAGUUUGUAACACCCGAAGCCGGUGGAGUAACCUUUUAGGAGCUAGCCGUCGAAGGUGGGACAAAUGAUUGGGGUGAAGUCGUAACAAGGUAGCCGUAUCGGAAGGUGCGGCUGGAUCACCUCCUUUCU